UACGGGGGGGGCAAGCGUUGUUCGGAAUUACUGGGCGUAAAGAGCGUGUAGGCGGCCAAGCAGGUCCGUUGUGAAAACUGGAGGCUUAACCUCCAGACGUCGACGGAAACCGCGUGGCUAGAGUCCGGAAGAGGAGAGUGGAAUUCCUGGUGUAGCGGUGAAAUGCGCAGAUAUCAGGAAGAACACCCGUGGCGAAGGCGGCUCUCUGGGACGGUACUGACGCUGAGACGCGAAAGCGUGGGGAGCGAACAGG
rnacentral:rRNA from 1 species